rnacentral:ncRNA from 2 species
ACAAUUUAACAGGGGUGCUGAGCAAUCGGCUGAGAAGAAGGGAAUUGGCCCUUCUAACCCUUAAACCUGAUCCGGGUAAUGCCGGCGUAGGGAGAAUGUCUUGGCAUUUU